rnacentral:rRNA from 1 species
GACGAACGCUGGCGGCGUGCUUAACACAUGCAAGUCGAACGGAAAGGCCCUGCUUUUGUGGGGUGCUCGAGUGGCGAACGGGUGAGUAACACGUGAGUAACCUGCCCUUGACUUUGGGAUAACUUCAGGAAACUGGGGCUAAUACCGGAUAGGAGCUCCUGCUGCAUGGUGGGGGUUGGAAAGUUUCGGCGGUUGGGGAUGGACUCGCGGCUUAUCAGCUUGUUGGUGGGGUAGUGGCUUACCAAGGCUUUGACGGGUAGCCGGCCUGAGAGGGUGACCGGCCACACUGGGACUGAGAUACGGCCCAGACUUCUACGGGAGGCAGCAGUGGGGAAUAUUGCACAAUGGGCGGAAGCCUGAUGCAGCAACGCCGCGUGCGGGAUGACGGCCUUCGGGUUGUAAACCGCUUUCGCCUGUGACGAAGCGUGAGUGACGGUAAUGGGUAAAGAAGCACCGGCUAACUACGUG